rnacentral:antisense_RNA from 1 species
CAAAACAAAUAACUGUUAGAAGGUACAAUUUUCUUCUCUUCCCUGUAACUGAAAGUUUUAAGAAUUUUUCCUUGGGGAAAAAUUUUUUAAAAAUUCACCUAGAAUCAUAGGGCCUCAUUUUGUUUUCUUAUUGACAAACAAUACCUGGUAGCAUUCUCUAAAGAGUCUUCUAGAUCAAUUUUUAUAAAGUACUAAUGCUCAUGUGAUAAUUUAAAAUUAUUUUCAACUACUUUAUUACACAGAUGAAGAAACAUUUCAAGAUAUUAAUGAUGUAAUAACAUUACUGAGUCCCAUGUGGGCAGCAAGAGAACCGCUGGAAUGCAUCAAAUGAAAAGGCAAUUCCAGGCAAUUGGAAAAAUAAACAGCAGCUACCAUUUUUACAGCCUA